AAUCAAGUGCAAUAUGAAGUCGUUGUUCCCAAUUCAAACUAUAGUCAUCUCCUGCAUCAAGACAUGCCAGAUUAAUGGGCCUAAGUUCCAACGAAGAUAUGAAUGGAGUUCCUGAACCAAAGUUUAUCAGACAGACGGACACGGAGUUGUCCGGAGCAACAGUGAGCACCUCCUUCCAUACUAUGGAGCAGAGCAUAAAGAGGAGCAGGACCUAGAAGGAAAAAGGUAGGAGGAUAUGGCUUGUAUUACCAGAUUGGCCGUGGACUUGAAUCAUCAUCACCAGGAUGAGCAGCAGCACCAUGAUCCAUGUCAGUUUUCUACUUUCUGAGGAAAUGAAGGUGAUCACCAUGGUACUGUUCUGUUCUCUUCUCCCAAAGUCUGCAAACAAGAAACAGUUGCUACGAGUGACUUGGGAAGCUAUAUAGCAGAGGAUAACAACUAGCACGGUUUAGCAUUUUUUUAUUGAGCAGAUGUAAAGAAAUCUGGUGUGUUUUGUCCUUAAGUAGGUAACCUGCUCUUAAUAGAAAUGCAACUUGCAUUGAUCUAAUGAAAAAUAGGGACUGCCAUGGAGCUUCGUU